CCCUUAGAUGUUCUGGGCCGCACGCGUGCUACACUGAGUAAAUCAAUGGGUAAGGGAACACGAAAGUGCAACCUAAUCUUGAAAUUUGCUCGUGAUGGGGAUCGACGGUUGCAAUUUUCCGUCGUGAACGAGGAAUACCUUGUAGGCGCGUGUCAUCAUCACGCGCCGAAUACGUCCCUGCCCUUUGUACACACCGCCCGUCGCUCCUACCGAUUGAGUGUUCCGGUGAGGCUCUGGGACCUGGACGGAAAGAGCGUUUCGCUUGUUCUGUUUGGGAAACUUGGUCGAACCUUAUCAUUUAGAGGAAGGAGAAGUCGUAACA
rnacentral:rRNA from 1 species